rnacentral:lncRNA from 1 species
ACUUCCUUGGUUCCGGACACAGUCCACGCAGUAACUUGUUUUUGCAGAGACUGAUAGGCGGAUCGGGCGUGGCCCGAGCGCGCCCCACUCAGGGAAAGCUGCCGUCCCUCUUUGCCUUUGAGCGCCGCAGCCCUGAGAAUCGCAUCUGGCUUGGAAACGGUCCCAGGACUGGAGCCACCAAGAAAGCCGAAGGCAGUCGCGAAGAGCCGAGGACGCCCAGAGACUCUGCGGCUUCCGGGAAGCGGAACCGAGCCUACCCGGAAGGAGCCAACCUCACCUGAGGCUCGCUGAGCACCGGCAGGCGUUAAACCUAACGGAGCCCACGUCAUGGCGGCAGACGGGACAGGGGUAGUCGGAGGAGGGGCUGUCGGCGGCGGCCUGCCCAAGGACGGUUUGCAGGAUGCUAAGUGCCCAGAGCCAAUCCCCAAUCGGCGGCGCGCUUCCUCGCUGUCCCGUGACGCGCAGCGCCGAGCCUAUCAGUGGUGCCGGGAGUACCUGGGCGGGGCCUGGCGCCGAGCGCGGCCGGAGGAGCUGAGCGUUUGUCCCGUGAGCGGAGGCCUCAGCAACCUGCUCUUCCGAUGCUCACUACCGAACCACGUACCCAGUGUGGGCGGGGAGCCCCGGGAGGUGCUGCUACGACUCUACGGGGCCAUCCUGCAGGGUGUAGACUCCUUGGUAUUAGAAAGCGUGAUGUUCGCCAUUCUCGCAGAGCGGUCUCUAGGGCCCCAGCUUUACGGAGUGUUUCCAGAGGGCCGCUUGGAACAGUACCUCCCAGUAAGAGCCCAGUUUUUGUUGUUUUUACCCCAAGUCUUUACCCUUCCCAAAGUCUGCCUUCACAUCCCAGGUAGGGAAAUUUCCCUAAGACCUUGAUCUCCUCCCAUCCCGUAUCCCUUCCCCCUCCCGCCCCAGCCCCCUCACCACCCUGAUAGGUUACUGGGUACAGAGCCGGCCGUUGAAAACUCAAGAGCUCCGGGACCCAGUGUUGUCGGGAGCCAUUGCAACGAGGAUGGCCCGUUUCCAUGGUAUGGAGAUGCCCUUCACUAAGGAGCCCCGAUGGUUGUUUGGGACCAUGGAGCGGUACCUGAAGCAGAUCCAGGACUUGCCUUCCACCAGCCUUCCCCAGAUGAACCUGGUAGAGAUGUACAGCCUCAAGGACGAGAUGAACAGCCUCAGGAAGUUACUAGACGAUACCCCGUCACCAGUGGUCUUCUGCCACAAUGACAUCCAGGAAGGAAACAUCUUGUUGCUUUCAGAGCCAGACAGUGAUGAUAACCUCAUGUUGGUUGAUUUUGAGUACAGUAGUUAUAACUACAGGGGCUUUGACAUUGGGAAUCAUUUUUGUGAGUGGGUUUAUGAUUAUACUUAUGAAGAAUGGCCUUUCUACAAAGCAAGACCCACGGACUACCCCACUAGAGAACAGCAGCUCCAUUUUAUUCGCCAUUAUCUGGCAGAGGUUCAGAAGGGUGAGAUCCUCUCCGAAGAGGAACAGAAGAAACGGGAAGAAGAAUUGCUGCUAGAGAUCAGUCGGUACUCCCUGGCAUCUCACUUUUUCUGGGGUCUGUGGUCCACCCUGCAGGCUUCGAUGUCCACUAUAGAGUUCGGCUACUUGGAGUAUGCCCAAUCUCGGUUCCAGUUCUACUUCCAGCAGAAGGGCCAGCUGACGAGUUCCCCAUCAUCCUGAGGAUCCAACCCCACCUCAAGUUUCUCCUGGAGCCUCCGGGGCAGGACCUUGGAGGGAGGGGCAGAGAGCAGACGACCCCCAGAGACGGGGCUGUGCCUCAAAGUGCUGAAUAAACCCCAGGAUGGCGGAAGCACACCAGGCAGUAGCUUUCCAGUUCACUGUGACCCCAGACGGGGUCGACUUCCGGCUUAGUCGGGAGGCUCUGAGACACAUCUACCUGUCUGGAAUCAACUCCUGGAAGAAACGCCUUAUUCGAAUCAAGAAUGGCAUCCUUAGGGGUGUGUACCCUGGCAGCCCCACCAGCUGGCUGGUUGUUGUCAUGGCAACAGUUGGUUCCAACUACUGCAAGGUGGACAUCUCCAUGGGACUGGUCGAUUGCAUCCAGAGAUGCCUCCCGGAAAGGUAUGGCCACUUUGGGACCCCACAGACAGAGGCACUUCUCAGCAUGGUCAUCUUCUCCACCGGAGUCUGGGCGACAGGCAUUUUCUUCUUCCGACAAACCCUGAAGCUGCUGCUCUCCUACCACGGGUGGAUGUUCGAGAUGCACAGCAAGACCAGCCAUGCCACCAAGAUCUGGGCUAUCUGUGUCCGUCUCCUGUCCAGCCGGCGGCCCAUGCUCUACAGCUUCCAAACGUCACUGCCUAAGCUUCCUGUCCCCAGCGUGCCAGCCACAAUUCACCGGUACUUGGAUUCUGUGCGGCCCUUAUUGGAUGAUGAAGCAUAUUACCGCAUGGAGACAUUGGCCAAGGAAUUCCAGGACAAGACUGCCCCCAGGCUGCAGAAAUACCUGGUGCUCAAGUCAUGGUGGGCAACUAACUAUGUGAGUGACUGGUGGGAAGAAUAUGUCUACCUCCGAAGCAGGAGCCCCCUCAUGGUGAACAGCAACUAUUAUGCCAUGGAUUUUGUGCUUAUUAAGAACACAAAUGUGCAAGCAGCCCGUCUAGGCAAUGCCGUUCACGCCAUGAUCAUGUAUCGCCGCAAACUGGACCGUGAAGAGAUCAAGCCGACUUGCUACAGCACCUCUCAGAGAGCAGGCACGUGGCUGUCUACCACAAAGGUCGCUUCUUCAAGGUCUGGCUCUAUGAGGGCUCGCGCCUGCUCAAGCCCCGAGACCUGGAGAUGCAGUUCCAGAGAAUCCUCGACGACCCUUCCCCACCUCAGCCUGGGGAGGAGAAGCUGGCAGCCCUCACCGCAGGAGGAAGGGUAGAGUGGGCAGAGGCACGUCAGACCUUCUUCAGCUCUGGCAAGAACAAGAUGUCUCUGGACGCCAUCGAACGUGCUGCUUUCUUUGUGACCCUGGAUGAAGAUUCUCAUUGCUACAACCCUGACGAUGAGACCAGUCUUAGCCUCUACGGCAAAGCCUUGCUCCAUGGCAACUGCUAUAACAGGUGGUUUGACAAAUCUUUCACCCUUAUCUCCUGCAAGAAUGGCCUGUUAGGCCUCAACACCGAACACUCGUGGGCAGACGCGCCCAUCAUUGGGCACCUCUGGGAGUUUGUCCUGGGCACUGAUACCUUUCACCUGGGCUACACGGAGACAGGACACUGUGUGGGUGAGCCAAACACCACGUUGCCACCCCCUCAGCGGCUGCCGUGGGACAUUCCCGAGCAGUGCCGGGAAGCCAUCGAGAACUCGUACCAAGUAGCCAAGGCACUGGCCGAUGACGUGGAGCUCUACUGCUUCCAGUUCUUACCCUUUGGCAAAGGUCUUAUCAAGAAGUGUAGGACCAGCCCCGACGCUUUUGUGCAGAUUGCCCUACAGCUGGCUCAUUUCCGGGACAAAGGCAAGUUCUGCCUGACUUACGAGGCCUCGAUGACAAGAAUGUUCCGAGAGGGGCGGACUGAGACUGUGCGUUCCUGUACCAACGAGUCCGCAGCCUUUGUGCAGGCCAUGAUGAAGGGGUCCCAUAAGAAACAAGACCUCCAAGAUCUCUUCCGGAAAGCCUCCGAAAAGCACCAAAACAUGUACCGCCUAGCCAUGACAGGGGCUGGGAUCGACCGGCACCUCUUCUGCCUUUACAUCGUCUCCAAGUACUUAGGAGUUAGCUCUCCUUUCCUGGCUGAGGUACUUUCUGAACCCUGGAGCCUCUCCACCAGCCAGAUCCCCCAGUUCCAGAUCUGCAUGUUUGACCCAAAACAGUAUCCCAAUCAUCUGGGUGCUGGAGGUGGCUUUGGUCCCGUGGCGGAUGAUGGCUACGGGGUCUCUUACAUGAUCGCAGGAGAAAACACCAUGUUCUUCCACAUCUCCAGCAAAUACUCAAGUUCAGAGACGAACGCCCAGCGCUUUGGGAACCACAUCCGCCAAGCACUGUUGGACAUCGCCGAACUUUUCAAAAUUUCCAAGACAGACAGCUGAGGAAAAGAGAUACCCCAGCUGCCCUCUGGUCCCCACCUGGUGGAAGAAGAGGCCUGUGGCCAGCUCACAGGCAUAAGGGGUGGCGUGCACACACGCCCAGUUCGGAGAACAGCUCUUGAGGCAGUGCUCCCCGGAGGAGGCAGUGCUCCCUGGGCAGAUACUGCUCCUCUAGGGCCCCCGCUGGAGGUGGGAUUGGAGCAGCAGGGGAAUUUUGAUUUUUUUUUUUUUUUUUUGGCUUGGUAGAUGUUAAUAAAAAUAAGGCUGUAUAAUUCUUACUUGGCUGUUAGGUGCCUAUGUUUUUGUUAGAGAACGAUAAGGCCCUUUCCUGCCCCAGCUCAGCCUAGGAUGGAGGCGAUGGAAGGGGUCGGAGAAUGUUCAUAAUGGGCUUCUUACCUGCUUUGAAAUGGGUGCUCUUCUUGAAUAAUGCGGACUUGGAGAGCGCUGUCCAACCUCUCAUGUGCACUUGGAAUAAAUUCUUACUUUAGAACCUUAAAAAAAAAAAAAAAAAAAA